ensembl:misc_RNA Vault Vault RNA
GGACUGGCUUUAGCUCAGCGGUUCCUUCGACAGCAUUCAUUUAAUCACGUGGUCUGGUGGCUUCCACCAGGCCAGUGGUUCUAGCCCCGUGGGCGCUCUCCAGUCCUUUU